GCGAGAAGAGGCGUCUGUUUGUCCCGGAGAAUCGGAGUCAGAGCGAGGCGGUGGGUGGGAGGAUUUGGAAACACUUUGUGGAUCCGCAAACCCUGAGGAAUAAUUGUCAGCUCCUGGUUUGCAGCUGCGGGGCUUCUCCCUCCCGGGAACAGGCCCAGGUUAACGGCCGCCAUCCUGGGUCAGCGAGUGGAGGAUGGUUCACAUCAGAGGAUGGGGGAGGGGGGACAAUAAAUAAGAGGUUACACUUUGGGCUCAAAUCAAUGAGGAAUCUGAUCUGUGGGAAGGAAGGAAACCCUGGGAGGUGGGCGGGGGGGAUUCAGAAACAUCCGCUAGAGGCCCCAAACCCCCAAUAAGACUCAUUGAUUUUAUUGUCAGUCUGCAGACAGGAGCUGGAGAACUGAACCCAGGCAGAGGAGAGGGAGGGAGAAAACUGGGAGUGGAGGAAAGAAAUGGAGGAGAUGGUGAGAUGGCUUUGGAUUUCAGCCCAGGGAGGAGGGAGAGUGUGUGGGAUGGGGAUUUACACCUUUGGGGAAACAAGAGAGGAAAAGAUGGUCCAUAGAAACUAGAAUUGUUUGUUCUGAAUUUCAAACCUUAACUUAAGGAGAUGAUUUUUGUGAUAACAUUUUACAGGGUAUUAGAAGAAUGCAAAACUCAAACUAAACAUCACAUCAAGAUCUGGUUGAGUCACUCGAUUAAUCAGGGCCUGAAUAUCAUCGGCAGUUGAAUGUGGAAGGAGAAAUGUUUGUCUGUCCUGUCUGUAGAAAAAGAUUUUGAACACCAAUGUGACUGGAAAAGCACAGAGGCACACAUACCUGAGGAGAAUGUUCCAGUGCACUGACUGUGGAAAGAGCUUUAACCAGUUACACAACCUGAAAAAAAAAUCACACCAUUCACAGUGAAUAGAAACCAUACACGUCUUCUGUGUAAACAAGGCUUCAACUCAUCAUUCAACCUGGAGAGACAUGAGGAUACCCACACCUUGGAGAAACCGUGGAAAUGUGGGGACUGUGGGAAGGGAUUCAAUUAUCCAUCUGAAUUGGAUAUUCAUCGACGCAGUCACACUGGAGAGAGGCCAUUCACCUGCUCUGAAUGUGGGAAGGGAUUUGCUUACUCAUCCAGUCUCUACACACACCACCGUGUUCAUACUGGUGAGAGGCCAUUCACCUGCCCCGAAUGUGGGAAGGGGUGUAAUGCUUUAUCAAACCUCCUGAUUCACCAGCAGGUUCAUUCUGAGCAGAGACCUUUUCAAUGUUCUGACUGUGAGAAGAGCUUUAAAAGCACAAAGGACCUGCAGAGACACCAACGCAUUCACAUGGAUGUGAGGCCUUUCACCUGUUCAGUGUGUGGAAAGGGAUUCACUCAGACAUCUCACCUUCUGACACACCAACUUGUUCACUCUGAUCAGAGACCUUUUCAGUGUUCUCACUGUGAGAAGAGUUUUAAAAGUAAAAAUGAUUUACAAGCCCACCAACGCACUCACACUGGGGAAAGGCCGUUCACCUGCUCCCUGUGUGAGAGACAAUUCAGACUUUUAUCCCAGCUGCUGACACACCAGCGAGUUCACUCUGAUAAGAGACCAUUCCAAUGUUCUGACUGUGAGAAGAGCUUUAAAAGCAAACAGGAUCUAGUGACACACCAGCGAGUUCACACUGGUGAGAAGCCAUUCACCUGCACUGUGUGUGGGAUGGGAUUCACCCGUUCAUCCCACCGUCUGAGACACCAGCGGGUUCACACCGGCGAGAGACCAUUCAUUUGCUUUGUGUGUGGGAAAGGAUUUACUGAUUCACCCCAUCUUCUGAUCCACCAGCGAAUUCACACUGGGGAGAGGCCAUUUACUUGCUCUACAUGUAGCAAGAGGUUCACUCAGUCAUCCCAGCUCGCUGAACAUCAACUUGUUCACACUGAUCAGAGACCUUUCAAAUGUUCUGAUUGUGAAAAGAGCUUUAAAAGCAAGAAGUAUCUGCGAACACACCAGCAAAUUCACACUGGGGAGAGACUUUUCACCUGCUCUGAGUGUGGGAAGGGAUUCACUCAGUCAUCCCACCUUUUGAGACACCAGCAGCUUCACACUGGGGAGAUGCCAUUCACUUGCUCCGUGUGCGGGAAGAGAUUUGCUCGUUCGUCCAACUUGCUGAGACACCAGCGAAUUCACAAGUGACUCCACAGGUUGGGUUCUGCUGUUAUUGCUGCUGUUAAUCACAUCCAAGACUGAACAAUGUUCAUUCUAAGAGUUAAGACCGGUUGUGGUGUAACCCUGUGUGUGAAUUCUGUCUCAUGGUGGUAACAUGGAACAUCGAGGUGAAAGAAGAACCCAGACCGAAGCUAUCUGAAGAACUAUACUGAACUGCACUGUGGGCUCAAAACACAAAACAUCACAGCCUUUCCAGAAUUAGCAAUGUCUGCAAAAUGAAUUAAAUUGUGCACUAGAACUGGCCUCGAACUGGGAGAAAAAUAGACACCUUUGGUGCUCAUCAGAGGUGAUAAAGGUGUCUGCAUGUACCAGCCUGGGGAUUGAUAACAGUGUAAGAGAUAACAAAGCAGAGUCAGGCUGGUUCUAUUCCUUCAAGCAUGACGAGGCCCAGGACAAAAGAACAAGGAAGAAGGCAAUGAUGUAAUUGAAAACCAAUUUUUAAACUUAUUCGUUUGUGGGAUGCGGAUGUCGCAGUGAGAAUUUAUUGCCCACCCCCCAUAUUGCCGUGGGACUGGAGUCACAUGUAGGCCAGACCAGAUAAGGAUGACAGAUUUCCUUUCCUAAUGGACGUUAGUGAACCAGGUGGGUUUUUAUGACAAUCAGCAAUGGUUGUUAGGGAAGGAAACAGUUAAAGAAGUUGAAUUGCUAAUUAUUAGGUUGUUUAACCAAGUCCCCAUUUGGUUGUGUAAAAGGGUUAACAGCUGAGACUAGUCCUAUAUGUCGGGAGUUUUAUGACAAGCAAUAAAAUUCUGAAGGAGUCUGUCUUGGUUUCGGUCUUCAUUUUUAAACAGCUGUUGGAGCUUAACAGUGUUGGAAGAGGAUGGUUCCUGCUUGUAAGCAAGAAGAUUGGAAACUAAGCUUUCUUUGGACAAAAGACUGUAUUUGGAGUUACCCUUAUGAGCAGAGUGGUUUCGAGUCACUCAAAAAAUAAAAACAAAAUGGAUGAAUUAAAA